rnacentral:lncRNA from 10 species
GUAACAAUCAACUUUCAGAAGAUAUGUAUCCAAGUGGGCUACUUCCAAUGUCUAUGAGAAGUACCUGCACUUAAGAGUCUGCUAUUGCCUUAGGGUACUGUUUGCACCGCCCCCACCCCUCCAAAAAAAAACAACAAACAAGGACGGCUUCUCUAGUGCUUGCCACCUUUGUCAAAGCACCUGACACCACUGUCAAAGCACCCAGAGCCAGCAGAGCUACCUCACCUGACAGUUAUCUCCCUAGGGCCUGAGAAAUGGCCUACCUGGUGGCCCCCAAGCUCACUGAACUAGGCCAAUGACUCCACAAAUGCCCACAGUCUA